GUCCUAGCCGUAAACGGUGGGCACUAGGUGUAGGAGGCAUCGACCCCUCCUGUGCCGCAGCUAACGCAUUAAGUGCCCCGCCUGGGGAGUACGACCGCAAGGUUGAAACUCAAAGGAAUUGACGGGGCCCGCACAAGCGGUGGAGCAUGUGGUUUAAUUCGAUGCAACGCGAAGAACCUUACCCAGGUUUGACAUGUGCCGGACGGGUGUGGAAACACACCUUCCCUUCGGGGCCGGCACACAGGUGCUGCAUGGCUGUCGU
rnacentral:rRNA from 1 species